CCUACGGGGGGCAGCAGUGAGGAAUAUUGGUCAAUGGGCGCGAGCCUGAACCAGCCAAGUAGCGUGAAGGAUGACUGCCCUACGGGUUGUAAACUUCUUUUAUAAAGGAAUAAAGUGAGGCAAGUGUGCCUGGUUGUAAGUACUUUAUGAAUAAGGAUCGGCUAACUCCGGGCCAGAAGCCGCGGUAAUACGGAGGAUCCGAGCGUUAUCCGGAUUUGUUGGGUUUAAAGGGAGCGUAGAUGGGUUGUUAAGUCAGUCGUGAAAGUUUGCGGCUCAACCGGAAAAUUGCAAUUGAUACGGGCCGUCUUGAGUACAGUUGAGGUAGGCGGAAUUCGUGGUGUAGCGGUGAAAUGCUUAGAUAUCACGAAGAACUCCGAUUGCGAAGGCAGCUUCCUAAACUGCCACUGACAUUGAUGCUCGAAAGUGUGGGUAUCAAACAGGAUUAGAUACCCUAGUAGUC
rnacentral:rRNA from 1 species